CUGGCGGAGGGAAGGAGCCCGGGCGCCGCUCGCCGCUCCCCACGCCACCGCCCGCGCCGCCCGCCGCCCGCACCACCCCGCCGCCCCGCAAAGCAUGAGCGAGCCUGCUCUCCGCAGCUGCCCAGGGCGCGAAUGGCAGGCGGUCUCCGCGGAGUAAAAGGUGGCGCCGGUCAGUGGUCGUUUCCAAUGACGGACAUUAACCAGACUGUCAAAUCCUGGGGAGUCGCGAGCCCCGAGUUUGGAGUUGUUUUUUUUUUUUCCCCCACAACGUCACAGUCCGAACUGCAGAGGAAAAGGACGGCGGCAGGAAGGCGAAGCCCGGGCUCCGGCACGUAGUUGGGAAACUUGCAGGUCCUAGAAGUCGCCUCCCCGCCUCGCCGGCCGCCCUUGCAGCCCGGAGCCGAGCAGCAAAGUGAGACAUUGUGCGCCUGCCAGAUCCGCCGGCCGCGGACCCGGGCUGCCUCGGAAACACAGAGGGGUCUUCUCUCGCCCUGCAUAUAAUUAGCCUGCACACAAAGGGAGCAGCUGAAUGGAGGUUGUCACUCUCUGGAAAAGGGUGGGUAAGACACUUUUUAAUUAAAUUCUUUCCCGAAGAUUUUUUUUUUCCUCCCUUUUCUUUGCUGCAGCAUCUAACAUGGACCAAAUCACCAUCUCUUUGAUCUUUCCGUGGCUGUGAACUUUCUAUGCCGCCCAGCUUUCUGCAUGCUUAGAGAUUUCUGACCGAGCGCUUCCAAUGGACAUUCUCCAGUCUCUCUGGAAAGAUUCUCGCUAAUGGAUUUCCUGCUGCUCGGUCUCUGUCUAUACUGGCUGCUGAGGAGGCCCUCGGGGGUGGUCUUGUGUCUGCUGGGGGCCUGCUUUCAGAUGCUGCCCGCCGCCCCCAGCGGGUGCCCGCAGCUGUGCCGGUGUGAGGGGCGGCUGCUGUACUGCGAGGCGCUCAACCUCACCGAGGCGCCCCACAACCUGUCCGGCCUGCUGGGCUUGUCCCUGCGUUACAACAGCCUCUCGGAGCUGCGCGCCGGCCAGUUCACGGGGUUAAUGCAGCUCACGUGGCUCUAUCUGGAUCACAAUCACAUCUGCUCGGUGCAGGGGGACGCCUUUCAGAAACUGCGCCGAGUUAAGGAACUCACGCUGAGUUCCAACCAGAUCACCCAACUGGCCAACACCACCUUUCGGCCCAUGCCCAACCUGCGCAGCGUGGACCUCUCGUACAACAAACUGCAGGCACUCGCGCCCGACCUCUUCCACGGGCUGCGGAAGCUCACAACGCUGCACAUGCGGGCCAAUGCCAUCCAGUUCGUGCCCGUGCGCAUCUUCCAGGACUGCCGCAGCCUCAAGUUUCUCGACAUAGGAUACAAUCAGCUUAAGAGUCUGGCGCGCAACUCUUUUGCCGGCUUGUUCAAGCUCACGGAGCUGCACCUGGAGCACAAUGAUUUGGUCAAGGUGAACUUCGCCCACUUCCCGCGCCUCAUCUCUCUGAACUCGCUCUGCCUGAGGAGGAACAAGGUGGCCAUUGUGGUCAGCUCGCUGGACUGGGUUUGGAACCUGGAGAAAAUGGACCUGUCUGGCAAUGAGAUCGAGUACAUGGAGCCCCAUGUGUUCGAGACAGUGCCGCACCUGCAGUCCCUGCAGCUGGACUCCAACCGCCUCACUUACAUCGAGCCCCGCAUUCUCAACUCCUGGAAGUCACUUACAAGCAUUACCCUGGCGGGGAACCUGUGGGACUGCGGGCGCAACGUCUGUGCCCUGGCUUCUUGGCUGAGCAACUUCCAGGGGCGCUACGAUGGCAACUUACAGUGCGCCAGCCCGGAGUACGCACAGGGCGAGGAUGUCCUAGAUGCCGUGUACGCCUUCCACCUGUGCGAGGAUGGGGCCGAGCCCACCAGCGGUCACCUCCUCUCGGCAGUCACCAAUCGCAGUGACCUGGGACUCCCUGAUAGCUCGGCCACCACGCUCGUGGACGACGGGGAGGGGCAGCGCGAUGGCACGCCCGAGCCAGCCACCGUGGCUCUCCCCGGCGAGCACGCUGAGAAUGCCGUGCAGAUCCACAAAGUGGUCACUGGCACCAUGGCCCUCAUCUUCUCCUUCCUCAUCGUGGUCUUGGUGCUGUACGUAUCCUGGAAGUGUUUCCCAGCCAGCCUCAGGCAGCUCAGACAGUGCUUUGUCACGCAGCGCAGGAAGCAAAAGCAGAAACAGACCAUGCAUCAGAUGGCUGCCAUGUCUGCCCAGGAAUACUACGUUGAUUACAAACCUAACCACAUUGAGGGAGCCCUGGUGAUCAUCAACGAGUAUGGCUCUUGUACCUGCCACCAGCAGCCCGCGAGGGAAUGCGAGGUGUGAUCCUCCCAGUGGCUCUCAACCCAUGCACUACCAAAAACGCCUGGGCAGCCGGUCGGGCCGGCGGGCACCAGGCUGGGGUCUCCUUGUCUGUGCUCUGAUUUGCUCCUUGACUGAAACUGUAAGGGGAUCUCUCCCAGAGACUUGACAUUUUAGCUUUAUUGUGUCUUAAAAACAAAAACGAAAUAAAACACAACAAAACCCCACCCCACAACCUUCUGGACAGUCUAUCUUAAAUUUCAUAUGAAAACUCCUUCCUCCCUUUGAAGAUCUGUCCAUAUUCAGGAAUCUGAGAGUGUAAAAAGAUUCAAUACCCCUGUCUUCUUUUUCUGAGCGUACCUCUCCCCAUAUACAGCAUAUACCUGCUCCAUCUUCUGAGAACUUAAACAGAGACUCCGGGAAGAAAGUGGAAGCAGAAGUCCAGCUUGGUUCAUUGACAAUCACCCAUGCACCAUAUCCUUGCCACUGAAAGUGCGUCAUUCACUUUUCUGAGCCUUCAAGCACUCUUUUCCCCUAUGGUCCUGUAUCUGUCAGCCUGUGAGACAACAUUCUUGGAUCCCACAGCCAAGCAGCCCUGAACUCCAGCACAAUUCAGCCACACAUGGAGCAUCAAGCAGACUGCUGGGCUCCACCUGCGUCUCCAGGGUCACCAACCCAAAGGAUGAAGCAGAUGUAAGAUAGGGAAGGCACCUGGCUUUGUGUUCAUUUUCUACCAGGCCCAGCUCUUUGGGAAAAAAAAAAAAAGAAAGAAAAAAAGAAAGAAAAAGAAAAGAAGAUUCGUGCUCCAAGCUGGUGCUGCCAAGCUUCCUCCCCUCCCUUCCUUGUCCAAGCACUCCACCGUCUGUGCAGACUGCAUAACAGCAAUUUCUGGAAACUGGCUGAAGAAUCUGGGCCAGUCCAGAGGCAAUGAAUCCCGGUAUCUGUGUGGUGGGGUUUUAAGGAUUGUAUUUUUCACCUUAAUUCUUUUAACUACUGCCAGGUCUUUGAAGCACAUCUGUCACCAACAGCCUCUAUUUGUAAAAUGAGACUGAAGCUAUCGUCUCCAGAGAAAUUUCGGAAUCUUCUCUGUAGUUCAAUGCUUUUCCACUAACAGCUUGGCUCACAAAGUACGACUGCGGUAAAUAUUAAAGAAUGUUAAUAAAAAUGAGAUAAAACA